CUCCGUGCUCUCCACUUAGUCCUGAGCUGAUUCCAACCCCAGAGGCGUCAGUCGGCUCUAUAAAUUCCUUUGUGAAACCUGAGAUCCCGGGCUCCGAAGGCGAGCAAAGAUCUUGGAGGGGUUACAGUUUCCCUCCUCCCUGAAGAUCUGCUUGUGUUGGCAGCGGAAGAGCGUGUUUUUCCGAACAGGCUCUUCCCUUUCUUAUGUGAAUUCAGUUCAGAAAGCACUGCCAGCCUCCUUCCAAGCGGGAGAGGAACAUCUUGACAUUUCCAGUGGGAUCGUGGCAGGUGGUGAGAAAGCAGGUCACCGGUAAGCCCUUCUGGCUGAGUGACUCUUCUUUCCCCAAACCCUGCCCAGCUGGCAGCACCAAAGACAGAUGCGCCAGAGACAGCACCGCCCGCAGGAGCCUCCUUCUGUGGCGUUCCUGUGGUUCCCGGGGAGCUCUGAAAACUGCUGACUGGCAGGGCGCUGUGCCAGGCAGACACGCCAGCUCCUGGCUUCUGUCUCCUCCCUCUCUCCCUGACCCCAAGCUGGGGCCGCCUUCUCUUUUGUUUUUUGUCUCAUUAAACAUAUGUUCAUUGAGUGCCCGUUA